rnacentral:rRNA from 1 species
AACGGGGGGGGUUAGUGUUAUUCAAAAUUACUGGGCGUAAAGGGUAUGUAGGCGGCUUAUUAAGUUAAAAGUAAAAGCCUAAAGCUUAACUUUGGAAAUACUUUUAAUACUGCUAAGCUUGAGUGUAAAAGAGGAUAGUGGUACUCUCAAAGUAAAGGUAAAAUUUGUCAAGAUUGACGAGGACCACCAAGAGGCGAAGGCGACUAUCUGGUUUAUUACUGACGCUGAGGUACGAAAGCAUGGGGAGCAAAAAGG